GACGAACGCUGGCGGCGCGCUUAACACAUGCAAGUCGAACGGAAAGGCCUGCUUUCCCUUGUGGAUUGCGGGUACUCGAGUGGCGAACGGGUGAGUAACACGUGAGUGAUCUGCCCCCAACUUGGGUAUAAGCCUGGGAAACUGGGUCUAAUUCCCGAUAGGACUGCAGGGUGGUGCCUGUGGUGGAAAACGAUUUUCUAGUGGUUGGGGAUGAGCUCGCGGCCUAUCAGCUUGUUGGUGGGGUAACGGCCUACCAAGGCGGCGACGGGUAGCCGGCCUGAGAGGGUGGACGGCCACAUUGGGACUGAGAUACGGCCCAGACUCCUACGGGAGGCAGCAGUGGGGAAUAUUGCACAAUGGGCGGAAGCCUGAUGCAGCGACGCCGCGUGGGGGAUGACGGCCUUCGGGUUGUAAACUCCUUUCGACCGCGAGGAAGCCACCUGGUUGGAAGGGUGGUGACGGUAGUGGUAGAAGAAGCACCGGCUAACUACGUG
rnacentral:rRNA from 1 species